AAAGUCGUAACAAGGUUUCCGUAGGUGAACCUGCGGAAGGAUCAUUACAGUGCCCGGUCGCCGCCCCCUAAAGGCUGGCGACCGAACAGGCCACCCUUGUCUACCUUACCACUGUUGCUUCGGCGGGACCGUCCCCUUAGGGGGGCGACCCGGGGCUGGCUUAACCGCCGUCCGGGCGAGCUCCCGCCAGAAGACACUUAAAUUCUGUUGAUCAGUGACUGUCUGAGAUUAUAUUUAAUCAUUAAAACUUUCAACAACGGAUCUCUUGGUUCCA
rnacentral:misc_RNA from 1 species